ACAGUUGAACUUUUUCUUCGUGAUGUAUACUGUUCCCGUGUCCGGUUCGUCCGGGCUAUGGCGAUAAACGCACCUGAAGAGAUGGACCGGACCCGGGGGCGGUACCCGGCGGCUCCACCACAGGCGGUUCGUCGCGGGCGACAGCAAGACGUCUCCCGCACGAAGGCGCCCGAUGAAGAUCCGGAAUGGCGUGCCAUGCGCCGAUCGGGACUUCCUGCGGCAGCGAACCGUCGGUGAUGGGGCCGAAACAGGAUCGACGGACGUAGGGACAGGAACGCUUUCGCUCGGUGAGAUACCACCGUUAUCGGUUCGAACUUGAGAGCUGCCAACACCAACGCUGCUCCGGUCGCCCUCGCCGCUUAAGCGGUACGGGUAGACCACCCUCAACUCCUGCCGGUUAGCCCCGGCGGGCGGGGCCCGCAGGGAGCCUGGCAACAGAAUCCCUGCGCA
rnacentral:tmRNA from 1 species